CACGUAGGGCGCAAGCGUUGUCCGGAAUUAUUGGGCGUAAAGAGCUCGUAGGCGGUCUGUUGCGUCCGCUGUGAAAACUCGGGGCUUAACCCCGAGCCUGCAGUGGAUACGGGCAGACUAGAGGUAGGUAGGGGAGAAUGGAAUUCCCGGUGUAGCGGUGAAAUGCGCAGAUAUCGGGAGGAACACCGGUGGCGAAGGCGGCCUUCUGGACCAGUACUGACGCUCAUGCACGAAAGCGUGGGGAGCAAACAGG
rnacentral:rRNA from 1 species